CUCAAAGGAAUUGACGGGGACCCGCACAAGCGGUGGAUGAUGUGGUUUAAUUCGAUGCAACGCGAAAAACCUUACCCACCUUUGACAUGGCAGGAAGUUUCCAGAGAUGGAUUCGUGCUCGAAAGAGAACCUGCACACAGGUGCUGCAUGGCUGUCGUCAGCUCGUGUCGUGAGAUGUUGGGUUAAGUCCCGCAACGAGCGCAACCCUUGCCAUUAGUUGCUACGAAAGGGCACUCUAAUGGGACUGCCGGUGACAAACCGGAGGAAGGUAGGGAUGACGUCAAGUCCUCAUGGCCCUUAUAGGUGGGGCUACACACGUCAUACAAUGGCCGGUACAAAGGGCAGCCAACCCGCAAGGGGGAGCCAAUCCCAUAAAGCCGGUCGUAGUCCGGAUCGCAGUCUGCAACUCGACUGCGUGAAGUCGGAAUCGCUAGUAAUCGUGGAUCAGCAUGUCACGGUGAAUACGUUCCCGGGUCUUGUACACACCGCCCGUCACACCA
rnacentral:rRNA from 1 species